AUGAACGCUAGCUACAGGCUUAACACAUGCAAGUCGAGGGGCAGCAUUUUAGUUUGCUUGCAAACUAAAGAUGGCGACCGGCGCACGGGUGAGUAACACGUAUCCAACCUGCCGAUAACUCGGGGAUAGCCUUUCGAAAGAAAGAUUAAUAUCCGAUAGUAUAUUAAAACCGCAUGGUUUUACUAUUAAAGAAUUUCGGUUAUCGAUGGGGAUGCGUUCCAUUAGUUUGUUGGCGGGGUAACGGCCCACCAAGACUACGAUGGAUAGGGGUUCUGAGAGGAAGGUCCCCCACAUUGGAACUGAGACACGGUCCAAACUCCUACGGGAGGCAGCAGUGAGGAAUAUUGGUCAAUGGACGAGAGUCUGAACCAGCCAAGUAGCGUGAAGGAUGACUGCCCUAUGGGUUGUAAACUUCUUUUAUAUGGGAAUAAAGUAUUCCACGUGUGGGAUUUUGUAUGUACCAUAUGAAUAAGGAUCGGCUAACUCCGUGCCAGCAGCCGCGGUAAUACGGAGGAUUCGAGCGUUAUCCGGAUUUAUUGGGUUUAAAGGGAGCGUAGGUGGAUUGUUAAGUCAGUUGUGAAAGUUUGCGGCUCAACCGUAAAAUUGCAGUUGAAACUGGCAGUCUUGAGUACAGUAGAGGUGGGCGGAAUUCGUGGUGUAGCGGUGAAAUGCUUAGAUAUCACGAAGAACUCCGAUUGCGAAGGCAGCUCACUAGACUGCAACUGACACUGAUGCUCGAAAGUGUGGGUAUCAAACAGGAUUAGAUACCCUGGUAGUCCACACAGUAAACGAUGAAUACUCGCUGUUUGCGAUAUACAGUAAGCGGCCAAGCGAAAGCAUUAAGUAUUCCACCUGGGGAGUACGCCGGCAACGGUGAAACUCAAAGGAAUUGACGGGGGCCCGCACAAGCGGAGGAACAUGUGGUUUAAUUCGAUGAUACGCGAGGAACCUUACCCGGGCUUAAAUUGCAUUUGAAUAAUCUGGAAACAGGUUAGCCGCAAGGCAAAUGUGAAGGUGCUGCAUGGUUGUCGUCAGCUCGUGCCGUGAGGUGUCGGCUUAAGUGCCAUAACGAGCGCAACCCUUAUCUUUAGUUACUAACAGGUCAUGCUGAGGACUCUAGAGAGACUGCCGUCGUAAGAUGUGAGGAAGGUGGGGAUGACGUCAAAUCAGCACGGCCCUUACGUCCGGGGCUACACACGUGUUACAAUGGGGGGUACAGAAGGCAGCUACCUGGCGACAGGAUGCUAAUCCCAAAAACCUCUCUCAGUUCGGAUCGAAGUCUGCAACCCGACUUCGUGAAGCUGGAUUCGCUAGUAAUCGCGCAUCAGCCAUGGCGCGGUGAAUACGUUCCCGGGCCUUGUACACACCGCCCGUCAAGCCAUGAAAGCCGGGGGUACCUGAAGUACGUAACCGCAAGGAGCGUCCUAGGGUAAAACUGGUAAUUGGGGCU
rnacentral:rRNA from 1 species